UCAGACGAUGCGUCAUGCAUAUCAAUAAGCGGAGGAAAAGAAACUAACAAGGAUUCCCCUAGUAACGGCGAGUGAAGCGGGAAGAGCUCAAAUUUGAAAUCUUAAAGGGUUUCCCUUUACGAAUUGUAGUUUAAAGAAGUGUUUUCUGUUGAGGUUUUGGUAAAAGUUCUUUGGAAUAGGACAUCAUAGAGGGUGAGAAUCCCGUAUUUGACCUUUACUUUCAACUUUGUGAUACACUUUCAAAGAGUCGGAUUGUUUGGGAAUGCAGUCCAAAAUGGGUGGUAAAUUUCAUCUAAAGCUAAAUAUUGGCGAGAGACCGAUAGCGAACAAGUACCGUGAGGGAAAGAUGAAAAGAACUUUGAAAGGAGAGUUAAACAGUACGUGAAAUUGUCAAAAGGGAAGCGUUUGACACCAGUGUUGUUUUUCUGAAAAUCAAUUAAAGAACUGUUUAUGCUAAGUUGUUUAGACUUUAUCAGCUAACUGUUUAGUUUUGAGCUUUUCUUUAAUGCACUUUUCAGUUAACAAGUCAACAUCAAUUUCUUUUGCUGUAAAAAAGCUUGAGGAAGGUGGCUUGAGAUUCGUCUUAAGUGUUUAUAGCCUCUUGCCUAUGCAGUCGGAGAGAUUGAGGUCUGCAGCGUAGAUCCUUCGGGGCUAAAUGCAUUUGUGCUAAGUUAUAGCACUUUAUAGACAACUUGUUGACUAUGAUUUGUCUUGUAGCUUACUCGCUUAUGUUAUUUUACCUACGCUUAGGAUGUUGACACACGCGCGUGCUCG
rnacentral:rRNA from 1 species